UAAAAUAAUUAAUAAAGAUAAUUGUCCAAUAUAGCAUUACUAAUGCACUUGCGCUAUCACACAGAGUAUUUAAAAUAUGGAGGAGCAUUAUUUCUGUGAUUUUUAACAGUGAUGAAACUAUCCGCCAGAAUUAAUAUCAUUCUCAUACCAUGUGGUAUGACAAAGGGCUUCAAAAGGUCAUUAAUGUGAUAGUUACCCAGAGUUAGACUUCCUGUAAUAGGAACCCAUUUUUAACAUCACACCAUUUCUAAUUUGUGUUUUUGUUUUCUUAUGCAAAGCUCUCAGAAUUGUGGAUACACUAGAAUUCUAAUAAUGUUUUGCAUGCAAAAUUAGCAUUAAAUAUAAUGCAGUGCUAUAGGAUGCUUAACACCACCUAGACCAGCUACAACAUUACACAACUGGCCAUUUUCACAAGUACUACUCUAGUUUUACGUUUUUUAAAUACUUCAGUACAUUUUGCUGCCAGUACAUCUUUGUUUUUACUUAAAGUAAAGAAGAACUUACUUGGCUUGAAAAUGUCUGCUUAAUUGAAUUUAUAUCCGUCUAAUAAAGGUUAACGAUCAAAACAACACAACACAGGCAUUUUACAGGUAAAACCUUCACUUAUUUUAUAGCAGUGCAAUUGAGAUAAUUAUUUAUGCUUUACAUUCCGGAAAAACUGAAAAUGUUUUAAACUGUAACAAGAAGCUAAUCGAGGAUAAACAUCAACAUAAAGCGCAGGAAUGUUUGUUUGUGAUGUUGCUAAUAAGAUCAUUGAAAUGACAAGUAACAUCUCAGUUUCUUGAUGGACAACAGAACACGACUUUUAUUUAAAAUGUACCUCAGAAAGUCUGGCACCCCAAAACGUGCCCGACAGUGGCCAGCUACUUCAAAAAAGAAAUAUGAUUUUAGUUGAAACCACGCAAAGGAGGAAAAGCAUUUAGACUUUCUGUAGUCUCAGCUAUGGGAUAAAUAGGCUACUUCCCCACAAAGAUUUCAGAGUUGUGCAAUGUUGACAGAUACUGUGGGAAAUGUUCCAGAGGAAAUGCAGAUUGGACAUUUUCCAAUAAAAAAUUGGGAAGUGAGGAGAAGAACUUAAAGGCAGCACAUUUAGCCCAGUGAGAUACAACAAAGAAAAACGUAGUUUAAAAAUAUCUGGCACCACAUCAUAAUCUCGUAGUAUAUAAACAACUUUACAUUCUGGGGAUGCAAUUGUAAAGCUUCAUUCAAAACCACUGCAGUUUUUCAGUGAUUUAAUUUGCAGCUUUUGCAUUGAUUGUCUCAUUUGCACACAAAAAAACACACAACACAUAUAUGAAAUAUUGAUGUACUACUAACUACUCUACAACAUUCUAGCGAAAAUAAAGAUAAUUCUUGAUGUAUAUAAUGACAUAUGCAUUAUUAGACAUCCCACUUAUGUCUCACUCAGAUGCAAGCGCAUUUGAAAUGUCUGUGAAGUCACACAUCGGCAGUCUGUAUCUCUCACAUAGCUUAUUUGUUAUUCUAAAAUCUUCGAACAGUUGGCAGUGUACGCUGACUGCUACAUACAGACCUCGGUAAAGCUUACAUCCUAAAACUCGUCUAACUCUACAAGAAAUGACAAGAUUAAAUUGUGCCACGCAAAGACAAAAGAAAAAAGCUUUCACAUUGUCAAACAUGAAACAUUGUUCAUCUGGUCCAUAAUGGAUCCACAGAUUUCCCUGCUCAGUUCAGUUGUAUUCCUGCCUUUAAAUCACACUGAACACUGCUUAAUUAAUAAGAUUGAAGUGGAGCAAUCACAUGUUGCCACCAACUGACAGAUGCUUUAAGUGUGUCACAACAAAUUCAGCCAUACCCAAAGCAGAGAUCGAUUUAGCAUGUUAAAAACAAGGAAAAAAAUCCUCGCAGUGUUUGGAUGUUCAAUUGAGGUGUUCAGAGAAUAAAACCUAACUUGUCUAGAGCACAUACAGAUGAGUAGCUCACAUAUCUGUUGUUGUUGCUGUUGUUGUUAUGGAUCUAGUGUUUGUGGCUGUAGGUUGCUUCCUCUGAGAAUUGCAAUAAAAUGAUGAAAAGGAAGUGAA